rnacentral:lncRNA from 10 species
AUGGAUGGCAUGAAUAGAAGCUCACCUCUGCGGUCUUCCCUCACUCAGCUCUUCGCCUUCAACCGCUUCGGCUCUUUUCGUCACCCCUCUUUACUCCUCGUUCCUCUUCGUCACUUUCCGUCAUCUCCGAUUAGGCUCGGCCUGCUUCAGCUCGCCAGUUCGCCUUCCUCUUUGUCGCCCUCGGAUCAUUUCCGUGACUCUUCGUCAGUAUCCGUCAGUCCCGGUCCCUGUCCGUCCAUUCUCGCCACUUUCCGUCGCUCCCCGUCGCUCCCCGUUCAUUCUCCGUCACUCUGCGUCACUCUCCGUCAGGCAUCGUCUACCUUCGUCACUCCCCGUCACUCUCCGUCGCUUUCCGUCGCUCCCCGUUCAUUCUCCGUCACUCUGCGUCACUCUCCGUCAGGCAUCGUCUACCUUCGUCACUCUCCGUCGCUCCCCGUCGCUCUCCGUUCAUUCUCCGUCACUCUCCGUCACUCUCCGUCAGGCAUCGUCUACCUUCGUCACUCUCCGUCGCUCCCCGUCGCUCCCCUUCGGCUCCCGUCGCUCUCCGUUCAUUCUCCGGCACUCUCCGUCACUCUCCGUCAGGCAUCGUCUACCUUCGUCGCUCCCCGUCGCUCCCCGUUCAUUCUGCGUCACUCUCCGUCAGGCAUCGUCUACCUUCGUCACUCCCCGUCACUCUCCGUCGCUCCCCUUCGCUCCCCGUCGCUCCCCGUUCAUUCUCCGUCACUCUGCGUCACUCUUCAUCAGGCAUCGUCUACCUCCGUCACUCUCCGUCGCUCCCCGUCACUCUCCGUCACUCUCCGUCACUCUCCGUCAGGCAUCGUCUACCUUCGUCACUCCCCGUCACUCUCCCUCGCUCCCCGUUCAUUCUCCGUCACUCUGCGUCACUCUUCAUCAGGCAUCGUCUACCUCCGUCACUCUCCGUCACUCUCCGUCACUCUCCCUCGCUCCCCGUUCAUUCUCCGUCACUCUCCGUCAGGCAUCGUCUACCUUCGUCACUCUCCGUCGCUCUCCGUCACUCUCCGUUCAUUCUCCGUCACUCUCCGUUCAUUCUCCGUCAUUCUCCGUCAGGCAUCGUCUACCUUCGUCACUCUCCGUCGCUCUCCGUCACUCUCCGGCUGCUCCCUUCCCCGCACGCCGGCUGCAGAAAGCCUCAUGGCCUUUGCCUGCUGUAGCCCUUCUCCGUCCCUCUCCGGUGCUGCUGUCUCUGUGAGUCCCGGGUGAUUUCUGCUCGGCCCGUGACUCUGUCUUCCUCCCUUCGCUUCUGGGAGAGUGGCCUGAGCCCUCCCGAGACGCCUCUCCCCGCUACCCGGCCUGACGGAUGGUGAGGAGCGGGGGUCUGGGGGUGGUCCCGAGGGGAGGAGCGGGGGUCUGGGGGUGGUCCCGAGGGGAGGAGCCGGGGGUCUGGGGGUGGUCCCGAGGGGAGGAGCAGGGAGUCUGGGGGUGGUCCCGAGGGGAGGAGCCGGGGGUCUGGGGGUGGUCCCGAGGGGAGAAGCGGGGGUCUGGGGGUGGUCCCGAGGGGAGGAGCAGGGAGUCUGGGGGUGGUCCCGAGGGGAGGAGCCGGGGGUCUGGGGGUGGUCCCGAGGGGAGGAGCGGGGGUCUGGGGGUGGUCCCGAGGGGAGGAGCCGGGGGUCUGGGGGUGGUCCCGAGGGGAGGAGCGGGGGUCUGGGUGUGCUUUGCAUGGGGUCUCCCUGUGGUCCGGAGGGUGGAGCAGGGGGUCUGGGGCUGGUACUUAUGAGAGGGACAGGGCUGUUUCUGUUUUUGGUCCGUUUCCCAUCUGUCCUCGUGAUCCGGACAGGUGGGGCAUAAUGGGAGGGUCAAGGUGAGGGGAAGGAAGGCGUGGCGGCCUGGUCCCGAGGGGCAGGAAAGGGGUUCGUGGUGCGGUUCUGACGUGUGACCCCAUCCACAGGAGAAUGGACACCUCAGACUCUCCCAUCCCUGGCCAUUGGCGUGGCCCAGGAGCUGCCUUCCCUGGCUGUGCUCGAGGCUCACUGGAGGGAACGUCGUUUUCAUUGUGGGAAAUUUUUGAAAAGUCUCUUACAGAUUUCAGUGAGUUCAAAGCCGCCCGUGCGCAGACGUAGGUCCGUUCUUCGCCUAGCUUCACUCUAGCCUGCCGAAAGGAAAUGGUAAUAGAGCUGGAAAAGGUGUCCUGGGGUUGAUUAGAGGAUUUUCCGUUUCAUCUUGGAAAGGGAUAUUGACGGGAGGCCAGAACUUCUAGAUCCUCUUCAAUUUCAAGAAAUACUUUAAAGCCUGGACAAUAUCGGGAGGCCUUAUCUCUACAAAAUAAAAAUGGAAAAAUCAGCUGGGUGCGAUGGCACACUCCUGUGGUCCCACCUUCUCUGGAGGAUGAGGUGGGAAGAUCACGAGCUUGGGAGGCUGAGGCUGCAGUUAGCUGUGAUUGUGCCAGUGUACUGCAGCCUGGGUGACAGAGCAAGACGCUGAAAAAAAAAAAAAUAAAAGGGAAGGAGGGAGGGAGGGAGAGAGGAAGGAAGGAAGUAAACAAAUGGCUCAGGCUCAGAGAGCUGUGUGUGGCCCCCAGCUCCCACCCCCACCAAAGGGCCUGCAAACCCACAGGGGGGCAGGUUGUCUUUAGCUGGAACCACAGGGACGGGGGGCCCUGAACUGUAGGGGUUGGGGUUAGGGUUAGGCUUUGAGGUUUGGGGUUAUAGAAUAUAGAUGGGUUUGGUCCUGGGAAAAUUCCAGGUCUGGGUUUUGUGGUCGGGGGUUGGUCUCCGGUGAGAUGCGACAUGUUUACAGGGUUUGUGAGGUAUGUACAGAUGUGUACGGUGCUGUUGUUGGAAUGUGUUCUCCAGAUUUCAUGUGUUGGCAAUUUUGUGUUCUUUUUUUUUUUGAGAUGGUGUCUCGCCCUGGCAUCUGUCACCCAGGCUGGAGUGCAAUAGUGUGAUCUCAGCUCACUGCAGCCUCUGCCUCCCAGGUUCAAGCCAUUCUCGUACCUCAGCCUCCCAGUGGCUGGCAUUGUAGCAGGAUAAGCCAGAGACAAAAUUCCUCAGACACCAGGUUAAAGAAGGAAGGGCUGUAUUCGGCCAGGAGCACUGACAGACUUGCAUCUUAAGAGCUGAGCUCCCCAAAAAGGAAAUUCCUGGUGCUUUUAAGGGCUUACGACUCUGAGGGGUUCACGUGAAAGCAUUGUGAUAGCUUAAGCAAGUGCGGGGAACGUGACGGGGGGCUGCAUGCAUCAGAUAACAGACC